AUUGAACGCUGGCGGAAUGCUUUACACAUGCAAGUCGAACGGCAGCGCGGGGGCAACCCUGGCGGCGAGUGGCGAACGGGUGAGUAAUGUAUCGGAACGUAUCCUGUAAUGGGGGAUAACCAGUCGAAAGAUUGGGUAAUACCGCAUACGCACGAGAGUGGAAAGUAGGGGAUCGCAAGACCUUACGUUAUAGGAGCGGCCGAUAUCUGAUUAGCUAGUUGGUGGGGUAAAGGCUCACCAAGGCGACGAUCUGUAGCUGGUCUGAGAGGACGACCAGCCACACUGGAACUGAGACACGGUCCAGACUCCUACGGGAGGCAGCAGUGGGGAAUUUUGGACAAUGGGCGCAAGCCUGAUCCAGCAAUGCCGCGUGCAGGAUGAAGGCCUUCGGGUUGUAAACUGCUUUUGUACGGAACGAAACGGUGAGCUCUAAUAAAGCUUGCUAAUGACGGUACCGUAAGAAUAAGCACCGGCUAACUACGUGCCAGCAGCCGCGGU
rnacentral:rRNA from 1 species